rnacentral:rRNA from 1 species
GAUGAACGCUGGCGGCGUGCCUAAUACAUGCAAGUCGAGCGAACGGACGAGAAGCUUGCUUCUCUGAUGUUAGCGGCGGACGGGGGAGUAACACGUGGAUAACCUACCUAUAAGACUGGGAUAACUUCGGGAAACCGGAGCUAAUACCGGAUGAUCUUUUGAACCGCAUGGUUCAAAAGUGAAAGACGUUCUUGCUGUCACUUAUAGAUGGAUCCGCGCUGCAUUAGCUAGUUGGUAAGGUAACGACUUACCAAGGCAACGAUGCAUAGCCGACCUGAAAGAGUGAACGGCCACACGGGAACUGAGACACGGUCAAGACUCCUACGGGAGGCAGCAGUAGGGAAACUUCCGCAAUGGGCGAAAGCCUGACGGAGCAACGUCGCGUGAGUGAUGAACGUCUCCGGACCGUAAAAAUCUGUUAUUAGGGAAGAAAAUAUGUGUAAGUAACUGUGAACAUCAUGACGGUACAUAGUAAGAAAGACACGGCUAACUGCGUG